rnacentral:rRNA from 1 species
GGAUUAGAUACCCUGGUAGUCCACGCCGUAAACGAUGUCUACUUGGAGGUUGUGGCCUUGAGCCGUGGCUUUCGGAGCUAACGCGUUAAGUAGACCGCCUGGGGAGUACGGCCGCAAGGUUAAAACUCAAAUGAAUUGACGGGGGCCCGCACAAGCGGUGGAGCAUGUGGUUUAAUUCGAAGCAACGCGAAGAACCUUACCUGGCCUUGACAUCCUGCGAAUCUUUUGGAGACAAGAGAGUGCCUUCGGGAACGCAGAGACAGGUGCUGCAUGGCUGUCGUCAGCUCGUGUUG